rnacentral:tRNA from 1 species
GAAGGUCUAGUUCAGGAGGUAGAGUGCAUGCUUAGCAUGCAGGAGGGCCUGGGUUCAAUACCCGGUACCUCCU